GUGGGGAAUAUUGCGCAAUGGACGAAAGUCUGACGCAGCGACGCCGCGUGUGGGAUGAAGCUUUUCGGAGUGUAAACCACUGUUGCUCGGGACGAACAUCCCUUUUCGAGGGGACUGACGGUACCGAGUGAGGAAGCACCGGCUAACUCUGUGCCAGCAGCCGCGGUAAUACAGAGGGUGCGAGCGUUGUCCGGAAUCACUGGGCGUAAAGGGCGCGUAGGUGGCUUGGUAAGCGUGUGGUGAAAGCUCGGGGCUCAACCCCGAGUCGGCCAUGCGAACUGCCGAGCUUGAGCAUGGUAGAGGCAGGUGGAAUUCCGGGUGUAGCGGUGGAAUGCGUAGAUAUCCGGAAGAACACCGGUGGCGAAGGCGGCCUGCUGGGCCAUUGCUGACACUGAGGCGCGACAGCGUGGGGAGCAAACAGGAUUAGAAACCCCAGUAGUCC
rnacentral:rRNA from 1 species